rnacentral:rRNA from 1 species
AUUAGAUACCCUGGGUAGUCCACGCAGUAAACGAUGAAUGCUAACUGUCCGUGGCGAUUAAGUCCUGGGUGGUACAGCGAAAGCGUUAAGCAUUCCACCUGGGGAGUACGCCGGCAACGGUGAAACUCAAAGGAAUUGACGGGGGCCCGCACAAGCGGAGGAACACGUGGUUUAAUUCGAUGAUACGCGAGGAACCUUACCCGGGCUUAAAUUGCAGCGGAAUGAUGUGGAAACAUGUCAGUGAGCAAUCACCGCUGUGAAGGUGCUGCAUGGUUGUCGUCAGCUCGUGCCGUGAGGUGUCGGCUUAAGUGCCAUAACGAGCGCAACUCCCAUCGCCAGUUGCCAACAGGUAAAGCUGGGAACUCUGGCGAGACUGCCGGCGCAAGCUGCGAGGAAGGCGGGGAUGACGUCAAAUCAGCACGGCCCUUACGUCCGGGGCGACACACGUGUUACAAUGGCAGGUACAGCGGGAAGCCACCGGGCGACCGGGAGCAGAACCCGAAAACCUGUCUCAGUUCGGAUUGGAGUCUGCAACUCGACUCCAUGAAGCUGGAUUCGCUAGUAAUCGCGCAUCAGCCACGGCGCGGUGAAUACGUUCCCGGGCCUUGUACACACCGCCCGUCAAGCCAUGGGAGUCGGGAGUGCCUGAAGUACGUGACCGCAAGGAGCGUCCUAAGGCAAAACUGAUGACUGGGGCUAAGUCGUAACAAGGUACC